UACGUAGGGCGCAAGCGUUGUCCGGAAUUAUUGGGCGUAAAGAGCUCGUAGGCGGUCUGUCGCGUCGGAUGUGAAAACCCAGGGCUCAACCCUGGGCCUGCAUUCGAUACGGGCAGACUAGAGUUCGGUAGGGGAGACUGGAAUUCCUGGUGUAGCGGUGAAAUGCGCAGAUAUCAGGAGGAACACCGGUGGCGAAGGCGGGUCUCUGGGCCGAAACUGACGCUGAGGAGCGAAAGCGUGGGGAGCGAACCGG
rnacentral:rRNA from 1 species